rnacentral:rRNA from 1 species
AACGAACGCUGGCGGCGCGUUUUAAACAUGCAAGUCGAACGGUAUUCUCGGAGCUUGCUUUGAGAAGAGAGUGGCGAACGGGUGAGUAACACGUGGAUAAUCUGCCUGUAGAAUUGGGAUAACAGCCCGAAAGGGUUGCUAAUACCGAAUAAGAUGGUGGCUACACAAGUAGCAGCCAUUAAAGCUGGGGACCGCAAGGCCUAGCGUCUACAGAUGAGUCCGCGGCUGAUUAGCUUGUUGGCGGGUAAUGGCCCACCAAGGCGACGAUCAGUAGCCGGCCUGAGAGGGUGAACGGCCACAUUGGGACUGAGACACGGCCCAGACUCCUACGGGAGGCUG